CUCCUACGGGGGGCAGCAGUAGGGAAUCUCCCACAAUGGACGAAAGUCUGAUGGAGCAACGCCGCGUGAGUGAAGAAGGGUUUGGGCUCGUAAAGCUCUGUUGGUAGUGAAGAAAGAUAGAGGUAGUAACUGGCCUUUAUUUGACGGUAAUUACUUAGAAAGUCACGGCUAACUACGUUCCAGCAGCCGCGGUAAUACGUAGGUGGCAAGCGUUGUCCGGAUUUAUUUGGCGUAAAGCGAGU
rnacentral:rRNA from 1 species